UCAGGCCUAACACAUGCAAGUCGAGCGGAAACGAGUUAACUGAACCUUCGGGGAACGUUAACGGCGUCGAGCGGCGGACGGGUGAGUAAUGCCUGGGAAAUUGCCCUGAUGUGGGGGAUAACCAUUGGAAACGAUGGCUAAUACCGCAUAAUAGCUUCGGCUCAAAGAGGGGGACCUUCGGGCCUCUCGCGUCAGGAUAUGCCCAGGUGGGAUUAGCUAGUUGGUGAGGUAAUGGCUCACCAAGGCGACGAUCCCUAGCUGGUCUGAGAGGAUGAUCAGCCACACUGGAACUGAGACACGGUCCAGACUCCUACGGGAGGCAGCAGUGGGGAAUAUUGCACAAUGGGCGCAAGCCUGAUGCAGCCAUGCCGCGUGUGUGAAGAAGGCCUUCGGGUUGUAAAGCACUUUCAGCAGUGAGGAAGGCGGGUACGUUAAUAGCGUAUUCGUUUGACGUUAGCUGCAGAAGAAGCACCGGCUAACUCCGUGCCAGCAGCCGCGGUAAUACGGAGGGUGCGAGCGUUAAUCGGAAUUACUGGGCGUAAAGCGCAUGCAGGUGGUUAGUUAAGUCAGAUGUGAAAGCCCGGGGCUCAACCUCGGAACUGCAUUUGAAACUGGCUGACUAGAGUACUGUAGAGGGGGGUAGAAUUUCAGGUGUAGCGGUGAAAUGCGUAGAGAUCUGAAGGAAUACCGGUGGCGAAGG
rnacentral:rRNA from 1 species